rnacentral:rRNA from 1 species
UACGGAGGGAGCUAGCGUUGUUCGGAAUUACUGGGCGUAAAGCGCACGUAGGCGGCUUUGUAAGUUAGAGGUGAAAGCCCGGGGCUCAACCCCGGAAUUGCCUUUAAGACUGCAUCGCUUGAAUCCGGGAGAGGUGAGUGGAAUUCCGAGUGUAGAGGUGAAAUUCGUAGAUAUUCGGAAGGAACACCAGUGGCGAAGGCGGCUCACUGGACCGGUAUUGACGCUGAGGCACGAAAGCGUGGGGAGCAAACAGG